AAUUAAAUGAUGUAGUAACUUGAUUGUAUUUGGAGGUUAUAAAAUGUAAUAUGCAAGUGUGAUGUAAAAAUGAAUCUAUGUGAAUGCUUGUAAUAACAUAGGAUGUGUUAUGUUGUUUGAUACCUUCCUUAUGCAAUCAUUGUAUGAAUAUUGUUCCUGUUUGAAACCUCUUGUAUUGUACUAUUUACGACGCCUAGGACGUACAGGGGAAACUCUGUCCGUUCGGCGGUCUGUCG
rnacentral:lncRNA from 1 species